AUGCUUGGUAUGAUAGCGAUGAAGCAUGUGCUUACUAUGAUAGUGAUGAACCAUGUACAUGUAUGCUUCUGCUUUCAUGGAUUGUCCGUAGUGCUCGUUGAGCCAACUACUGCUGCUGAUGCUGCUGCUGCACUCAAGCUAGCAGCAGCAAAGACAAAGAAGGAUGGUAGGUCGAACAACAUGAAGUGGCAGCCGUUCAUGUCCACGUUCAUGCUGAACAAGAUGUGUGAGCUCUUCUCUAGUGGAGUUAGGACUGACAAGGGCUUCAAGGAGGUGCACUUGAACACCAUUGUGAAGUAG
rnacentral:rRNA from 1 species